GAAGGGAAGAGGGUCUGGGGUGGGAGAUGGGGGAGGAGGAAGGAGGGGGGAGCGCCAAGCGCUCAUACAAAAUAUGGCCAAAAGGCUUAGCAUGCAUGGAAAAUUAUUGCUGUCGGAAGUUCCUAUUUACAGGGUCAACACCCUCCGUAAUUGCUUCUGCAACCCCUCUCCCUCCCCGGGUCCCUGCUGCCUCCCUUCCUGGGUGAGCCUGAGGCUGAGAAGCCCUAGAGAAGUGCUCCUGCUCCAGGGGCCCCUCCAGUCUCCACCCUCCUUUGUGGCUAAGGGGAGGAGAAGGGGAGGGUCGGAGAGUCCAGGACUCCUGCCCUCAGCUGGGCGCCUAGAGGUGGGGCAGACGCGUGUGCUUAAAGCAGAGGGGGCCAGGGCCGUGAGCGUGGAGGUGUGUGCUUCGGUCCUCGCCCGGGCAUGCAAAAGCGCGGCGGGGGAGGUAGUGGCGGCCAAUGUGGGGGCAGCUGGCAGCCCCGGCCCCUCUGCCCGGGAGAGUUGCAUAGACGUGUCCGGGAGGGAGCGCUCCUCCCUAAGGAGCGGAGUGGGCCAGAGGCCCCAGUGGGUCCGGGGCUCAGUCGGUCCCUGGAACCUGGGGUCUCUUGAGAAGAGGAAUGAACAGGAAGCAUAGAGGAGGCUCCUCUUCGGUCUCCUUGGAGUGGGAAUAGAAGGCUCAGGAGGGCGGGGACCUGCCCCAUGACUGGACCUCCUGAUAUCCCCCUACCCACCAGGUGAGGGUCAGCAGGCUAUCCUGCCCAUUCUCUUGCCCCCUUCCCCAGCAAGUUCAGGCUCUGAUGAGGGUGGGGCUUCUCCCUCACUCUCCCAAAUAGGGUAUGUUGUGGGGAGGGGGGGACAGCCCGCUAUGGCCUUUGCUGUCCCUCUCCUUGCCUGGCUCCCUGACCUCCCAGUCCAGCUGGGGAAGCCAGACCAUCCCUGGGUGAGGCCAAGAGAUUAAAUAGAAUAAUAAAUAGAUAAAUAAAUAAAUACACACAUAAAUAAACUGGAGAGGCCCAGCCGGAUGGGGAGAAGGGCAUUUGUGAGGUGCCCCAGACCUUCCCCCAACAAACAAGGAAGGUUACCUGUAGUCUUGGGGGUAGGGAAAGUGCUCAGAGAAUCUAGGGGGAGGCUGGAAGCCCAGGGAGGGGCUGUCCUGGGGUGAGAGAGGGGCUGCGUUAGGGCGCAGGGCCUUGAACUGCCCCUCAAGUCUGCCCCAGGCCAGGUGAACUCAGAGGGGUGAGAGCUGCUAGUGGGAUGAGGGGAUCUGGAAAGAGUAGGUGGUGGGAGAGGGUGAGAAGGCCCCCGAGGACCGAAGGGGGUGGUGGUGUUUGAGUGGCUAGACCUAAGGCCAGGGUAAUUAGUGGACAAGGGACAGACCGGGGACUCCAAGAGGGGUGAAGAUAAGAUCCCUAAGGCCUGCGUCCUGGUGUGGAUGGGGGAAUCCAUGGCAGGCAUGAGAAUCAAGGGUAGUUUUAGGCUUAAGAUUGGGGGUUCCAGUAGUGAAACUGUCUUGAGUCUCAGCUGAGAAGUUAGAGGAAAGGUUUGCAAGUUAGAAAGGGAGAGGUGCAGGGUCUGGGCGGGAGAAAAUUCCGGCUCUGCUACCUGGGAGAGGUGCAGACCUGGUGCCUGAGUUGGAAGCCUUGAGGGCGUGGACAGGGGUCAAGGUCUGAAUCUUAGUAGCCGGAAAGGAUGAUGAUGCAGGUCGGGAAGCACUGGGGAAAACAGUGCCAGAAGUGAGUCCUGGGCUUGGGAGUUGGAGAGAAAAGUUCCGGGCUAAUAGCCGGGUCCCCACGAGGGGCGCGGGUCUCAUAGUGGAGGUCCGGGGAGUGGCGGGCCCUGAGGAUGGGCAUGUCUUACAAGUUCCCUGGUGAUGCUGUUGCUGCCAGUCCUGGGAACCACUGCUCUGACAAUAACUGGGGCAGCUUGGUGUCCGUCAACCAGGGAAUGGUAAGCAAACUGGCUAACCCACAUUGUGGGAUGCUACACUGCAGUGCACAUGAGUGAACUAAUGAUACAUGCAACAACCUGGAAGAAUCUCAACGCAUGCUGAGCAAAACCAAACUGGACACAAAAAGUAACCUGCUGUAAUGAUGCCAUUGGUCCUAGAAUCUGCUGCAUUGCUGGUGCGGGUCGCCCCUGGCCUGGGCCGGCUGGCAGUCGAUGGAGGAGGCCAGCCUCACAGCUGACACUGUACGCAUCCUCUCCUCUCCCCCGCCCACCGAGCGCCUCCCAGACAACUACCCUCCAAAGUGGGGAGCAUCUUCAGCCUCACGGAAUUCUGAAGCAGAGUCUGAGAGCCAGAGAAUGGGAGAAUCGUGAAAUGUCACUGCUUUCAGGAAGCUCAUCUAUUCCUGUCAUUUUCCCAACUUAUUUGCUUAAUUAUUAGCAGUGGAACCCAGAACCCCCACUCACCUCACUUUCUUCCAAAAUAAUAAAUAAUGCGUUGAUUACAUUGAGAA